AUUUAUUUAAUUAUAUAUUUGCUGGGUUUGUGUAAAUUUUUUUUAACCACUUCGCGGAGAAAUUGUCUUCGCGUUUCUCAUUUUUUUCUUUUUACUGCUCCUUGUUUUCCACCGAAACACCAUGGACAAAGUCUUUUAGUGGAGAGAAAGAGAGAGAGAGAGAGAGAGAAGGAAAGACGGAAAGUAGAAAUACAAGACAAGAAUAAUCAUAACUUCAGAAAACUUCAGCUUUCCAGGUUCGACCCUCGAGAAUGUCUCCAAAGGCAAUAGCGCUGUGUAUUGGUGCAGUGAUGGCGGUGGCCAUAAUCGCAACACUUUUGGCCACUUCCAUGAAGAAAUUGCAGACAUAUGAAGUUGGUCUCAUCUACAACAAAAUUACCAAAAGACUCCAAGACAAUCCAAAGUUUGAAGGUCUUCAUCUUGGACCUCCUGGUUUCACUUUUAUCAUAUUCCCUAACGUUUACCAAACCAAAGCCUUCAAUGGCAUCAUGUGUCUCAACCAGAAUGGAGUUCGUAUCAUUUUGGACGUUUCCUGCCAAUUCAAAGUCCAGCUUCAUUCAAUGAAGAAAGUCAUCAAAGAGUUUAAGGACUUCGACGGAUUAAAAAGGGUGCUCCAGUAUGCAGGUACUGCUGCAAUCCAUGAAGCCUGCAGUAAUUUCACAACGGCCGAAUUCCAAGAAAGGCGAGAAGCAUUUCGGAAACUUGUUCAAGAAAUCAUGGAAUUCAGAUUCAAUGCUCUUAAUACUGAUAUUUCUAGCGUUCAGGUCAACAACAUCAGACGUCCUCAACCAUAUGAAAAAGCCAUUCGAGCGAAAGAAAGAGCCAGAGAAGAUAUAUUGGUGGCCAGGCAAGAACAACCGAAACAACUGAUUGAAGCGGAAACCAAAGUGAAAGAAGCAAUUGCCAUUUCUAAUAUCACUUUGGAGAAGGCCAAGUCGAGGGCCAGGAUCAAGAAGAAACAAGCUCAGGCAGAGGCCAGUGCCAUCCUUGUACAAUAUCAGACAGAAGCAGAGUCCCUCCAAAAUGUCUUGUCAUCCGAAGGCCUUAAUUACACUAACGAAGGGUUCCUGCAAUAUAUGGCUAUCCGCAUAAUCUCAUCACUUAAAAAUCCUCUCCAUGUUGGUAUGAACAUGCCAGAAAAUCCAAAUGCGAUUUCGUUUAGGGUCCUACCACCUCCGCCAUCGUCAUAAAAAAUAGUCUCUUAUGAUUAAAAUGUUGAGACGUACUAGUUGUGGAGGAGAAAUAAUUGAGCUGAGUCAGAGGCCAGUGCCAUCCUUAUACAAUAUCAGAAAGAAGCAGAGUCCCUCCAAAAUGUCUUGUCACCUGAAGGCCUUAAUUACACUAACGAUGAGUUCCUGCAAUAUAUGGCCAUCCGCAUAAUCUCAUCA